ACAUGAAAGUCGAACGGCAGCGGGCCUUCGGGUGCCGGCGAGUGGCGAACGGGUGAGUAAUGCAUCGGAACGUGCCAUUGAGUGGGGGAUAACGUAGCGAAAGUUACGCUAAUACCGCAUAUUCUGUGAGCAGGAAAGCAGGGGACCGCAAGGCCUUGCGCUCUUUGAGCGGCCGAUGUCAGAUUAGCUAGUUGGUGAGGUAAAGGCUUACCAAGGCGACGAUCUGUAGCGGGGUCUGAGAGGAUGAUCCGCACACUGGAACUGAGACACGGUCCAGACUCCUACGGGAGGCAGCAGUGGGGAAUUUUGGACAAUGGGCGCAAGCCUGAUCCAGCCAUGCCGCGUGAGUGAAGAAGGCCUUCGGGUUGUAAAGCUCUUUCGGCCGGGAAGAAAUCGCAUGGGUUAAUACCCUGUGUGGAUGACGGUACCGGAAUAAGAAGCACCGGCUAACUACGUG
rnacentral:rRNA from 1 species